AUUGAACGCUGGCGGCAGGCCUAACACAUGCAAGUCGAACGGUAACAGGAAGAAGCUUGCUUCUUUGCUGACGAGUGGCGGACGGGUGAGGAAUGUCUGGGAAACUGCCUGAUGGAGGGGGAUAACUACUGGAAACGGUAGCUAAUACCGCAUAACGUCGCAAGACCAAAAAGGGGGACCUUCGGGCCUCUUGCCAUCGGAUGUGCCCAGAUGGGAUUAGCUAGUAGGGGGGGUAACGGCUCACCUAGGCGACGAUCCCUAGCUGGUCUGAGAGGAUGACCAGCCACACUGGAACUGAGACACGGUCCAGACUCCUACGGGAGGCAGCAGUGGGGAAUAUUGCACAAUGGGCGCAAGCCUGAUGCAGCCAUGCCGCGUGUAUGAAGAAGGCCUUCGGGUUGUAAAGUACUUUCAGCGGGGAGGAAGGGAGUAAAGUUAAUACCUUUGCUCAUUGACGUUACCCGCAGAAGAAGCACCGGCUAACUCCGUG
rnacentral:rRNA from 1 species